rnacentral:rRNA from 1 species
CCUACGGGUGGCUGCAGUGGGGAAUAUUGGACAAUGGGCGAAAGCCUGAUCCAGCCAUGCCGCGUGUGUGAAGAAGGCCUUCGGGUUGUAAAGCACUUUCAGUGGGGAAGAAAGCCUUGGGGCUAAUACCCUCGAGGAAGGACAUCACCCACAGAAGAAGCACCGGCUAACUCCGUGCCAGCAGCCGCGGUAAUACGGAGGGUGCGAGCGUUAAUCGGAAUUACUGGGCGUAAAGCGCGCGUAGGCGGUCUGAUAAGCCGGUUGUGAAAGCCCCGGGCUCAACCUGGGAACGGCAUCCGGACCUGUCAGGCUAGAGUGCAGGAGAGGAAGGUAGAAUUCCCGGUGUAGCGGUGAAAUGCGUAGAGAUCGGGAGGAAUACCAGUGGCGAAGGCGGCCUUCUGGACUGACACUGACGCUGAGGUGCGAAAGCGUGGGUAGCAAACAGGAUUAGAUACCCCUGUAGUC